AGAGUUUGAUCCUGGCUCAGGAUAAGUCGUAACAAGGUAACCAUGCUAGAGUUUGAUCCUGGCUCAGGAUGAACGCUAGCGGGAGGCUUAAUACAUGCAAGUCGAGGGGUAACAUUAGAGCUUGCUCUAGAUGACGACCGGCGCACGGGUGAGUAACGCGUACACGACCUACCUUCAAGAGGAGGAUAGCCCUGGGAAACUGGGAUUAAUACUCCAUAGUAUUGAUUUUGUAAGGAUAUCAAUUAAAGCCUUCGGGUGCUUGGAGAUGGGUGUGCGUUCCAUUAGCUAGUUGGUAAGGUAAGGGCUUACCAAGGCGACGAUGGAUAGGGGGCGUGAGAGCGUGAUCCCCCACACGGGUACUGAGACACGGACCCGACUCCUACGGGAGGCAGCAGUAAGGAAUAUUGGACAAUGGGCGCAAGCCUGAUCCAGCCAUCCCGCGUGCAGGAUGACGGCCCUAUGGGUUGUAAACUGCUUUUAUAAAGGAAGAAUAGUCUAGAUUUAUUUGGAUGUGACGGUACUUUAUGAAUAAGCACCGGCUAACUCCGUGCCAGCAGCCGCGGUAAUACGGAGGGUGCGAGCGUUAUCCGGAAUUACUGGGUUUAAAGGGUGCGUAGGCGGCGUUACAAGUCAGGAGUUAAAGGUUGUAGCUUAACUAUGAUAUGCUCUUGAUACUGUAGUGCUUGAAUUAGGAUGAGGAUAGCGGAAUGUGGCAUGUAGCGGUGAAAUGCAUAGAUAUGCCAUAGAACACCGAUUGCGAAAGGCAGCUAUCUGGCCCUAUAUUGACGCUAAUGCACGAAAGCGUGGGGAGCGAACAGGAUUAGAUACCCUGGUAGUCCACGCCCU
rnacentral:rRNA from 1 species